AAACUACAUCUCGACCCCCAAUUGCCCCAUUGCCAUCCUCCUCCUCCUCUCUCCCUGCAGACAAGUCCACCAUCAAGGUCCUGGACACCGACUACGACUCCUACCUGAUCAGCGAGUUCCUGAGUGGCACCACCAUCUUCCUCUGCCUCUAUGGUGGGACCCUCCCUCCCCGCUCCCCUCCCUCCCUCCCUCCCUCCUUUCCAUGGGGUCCUCAUCGGGGUCUCUCUCUCUCUCUCUCUCUGCAGCCGCGGAGAAGGCGGUGCAGCCAAGGGUGCUGAGGAAGUUCACGGCCCUCGCGGAGAUGAUGGACCUCAGCCCGGAGAGGCUGUUCUUCCGGCACGAAAUCGAUCUCUGCUCCGCUAAGAAGAGAAAGGAGGAGAGCAAGUAAAAGGCACCGCAGAUCCGGGAUCCAUCGUCCUCCCCUUCCCGUUUUUUUGUCCUCGUCCGUUUAUUAUUCCGUUUCAAUAAAGGCCCCGCUUUACAAAGACCCACCUGGAAUGGCUUUCUGGCAUGUCGCCUUCUGCUGAAUGUCGAGUCUUAGGGCCACGAGAAAGGGAUCCCAGGAGGUCAGUGCGGGAGGAGCCGAGAGUGUGAUGCAGCAGCGGAAAAGGCCCAUGCGAUUCUAGGGGGAAUCCAGAGGAGAGAGUUGAGAUGGAAGGAAUCGAGAGUCUGGCUCAGUUCUGCUUUGGUCAAACCUCACCUGGAAUCACUUUGUGUCUUAUUAUUAUUAUUAUUUCCCUAUCCCUAUAUUAUUAUAAUUAUUUCCCUAUCCCUAUAUUAUUAUAAGCAGUAUAAUAAGCUUUGGGUUGCUUAUAAUAUCAUCAUCAUCAUGGUCAGCAUCGUAAGCAGAACGUGAGCCAAGAGUGUGAUGCAGCAGCAUAAAAGGCUAAUGCAAUUCUAGGGGGAAUCAAAAGGCAGACAGAGUUGAAACAGACUUUGUCAGACCUCACAUG
rnacentral:lncRNA from 11 species